CCUACGGGGGGCAGCGGUGAGGAAUAUUGGUCAAUGGGCGCGAGCCUGAACCAGCCAAGUCGCGUGAGGGAAGACGGUCCUAUGGAUUGUAAACCUCUUUUGUCGGGGAGCAAAAGACGCCACGCGUGGCGUUCCGAGAGUACCCGAAGAAAAAGCAUCGGCUAACUCCGUGCCAGCAGCCGCGGUAAUACGGAGGAUGCGAGCGUUAUCCGGAUUUAUUGGGUUUAAAGGGUGCGCAGGCGGAAGAUCAAGUCAGCGGUAAAAUUGAGGGGCUCAACCUCUUCGAGCCGUUGAAACUGGUUGUCUUGAGUGAGUGAGAAGUAUGCGGAAUGCGUGGUGUAGCGGUGAAAUGCAUAGAUAUCACGCAGAACUCCGAUUGCGAAGGCAGCAUACCGGCGCUCAACUGACGCUCAUGCACGAAAGUGUGGGUAUCGAACAGGAUUAGAUACCCGGGUAGUC
rnacentral:rRNA from 1 species